AUUGAACGCUGGCGGCAGGCCUAACACAUGCAAGUCGAGCGAGCGGCGGACGGGUGAGUAAUGUCUGGGAAACUGCCUGAUGGAGGGGGAUAACUACUGGAAACGGUAGCUAAUACCGCAUACCAUCAGAUGUGCCCAGAUGGGCUUAGAUAGUAGGGGGGGUACCGGCUCACCUAGGCGACGAUCCCUAGCUGUUCUGAGAGGAUGACCAGCAACACUGGAACGGGGAGACGGGCCAGACUCCUAAGGGAGGCAGCAGUGGGGAAUAUUGGACAAGGGGCGAAAGCUGGAUCCAGCCAUGCCGCGGGUGUGAAGAAGGUCUUCGGAUUGUAAAGCAUGUUAAGUUGGGAGGCGUUACCAACAGAAUAAGCACCGGCUAACUCCGUGCCAGCCGCCGCGGUAAUUC
rnacentral:rRNA from 1 species